AUAUCAAUAAGCGGAGGAAAAGAAACCAACAGGGAUUGCCCCAGUAGCGGCGAGUGAAGCGGCAAGAGCUCAGAUUUGAAAUCGUGUUUCGGCACGAGUUGUAGAGUGUAGGCGGGAGUGUCUGCGGCGGGCAGUGUCCAAGUCCCUUGGAACAGGGCGCCACUGAGGGUGAGAGCCCCGUGGGAUGCUGCGCAAAGCUUUGAGACCCUGCUGACGAGUCGAGUUGUUUGGGAAUGCAGCUCCAAGCGGGUGGUAAAUUCCAUCUAAGGCUAAAUACUGGCGAGAGACCGAUAGCGAACAAGUACUGUGAAGGAAAGAUGAAAAGCACUUUGAAAAGAGAGUGAAACAGCACGUGAAAUUGUUGAAAGGGAAGGGUAUUGGGCCCGACAUGGGGAGUGCGCACCGUUGCCUCUUGUAGGCGGCGCUCUGGGCGCUCUCUGGGCCAGCAUCGGUUCUUGCUGCAGGAGAAGGGGUGCCGGAACGUGGCUCUUCGGAGUGUUACAGCCGGGGCCAGAUGCUGCGUGCGGGGACCGAGGGCUGCGACAUAUGUCUCGGAUGCUGGCACAACGGCGCAAUACCGC
rnacentral:rRNA from 1 species